rnacentral:rRNA from 1 species
UUUCAACGGAGAGUUUGAUCCUGGCUCAGGACGAACGCUGGCGGCGUGCUUAACACAUGCAAGUCGAGCGGUAAGGCUCCUUCGGGAGUACACGAGCGGCGAACGG